GACGAACGCUGGCGGCGUGCUUAACACAUGCAAGUCGAGCGGUAAGGCCCUUUCGGGGGUACGACGAGCGGCGAACGGGUGAGUAACACGUGGGUGACCUGCCCUCAGCUCUGGGAUAAGCCUGGGAAACUGGGUCUAAUACUGGAUAUGACUCCACGGUGCAUGUCGUGGGGUGGAAAGCCUUGUGCGGCUGAGGAUGGGCCCGCGGCCUAUCAGCUUGUUGGUGGGGUGAUGGCCUACCAAGGCGACGACGGGUAGCCGGCCUGAGAGGGCGACCGGCCACACUGGGACUGAGACACGGCCCAGACUCCUACGGGAGGGCAGCAGUGGGGAAUCUUGCGCAAUGGGCGAAAGCCUGACGCAGCGACGCCGCGUGAGGGAUGACGGCCUGG
rnacentral:rRNA from 1 species